CGGAGGGUGCAAGCGUUAUCCGGAUUCACUGGGUUUAAAGGGUGCGUAGGUGGCUUUAUAAGUCAGUGGUGAAAGCCCGGAGCUUAACUCCGGAACUGCCAUUGAUACUGUUUAGCUUGAAUCAGGUAGAGGUGGAUGGAAUAUUACAUGUAGCGGUGAAAUGCUUAGAUAUGUAAUAGAACACCGAUUGCGAAGGCAGUUCACUUUGCCUGCAUUGACACUGAGGCACGAAAGCGUGGGGAUCAAACAGGAUUAGAUACCCUGGUAGUCCACGCCCUAAACGAUGUAUACUCGACAUCAGCGAUAUACUGUUGGUGUCUAAGUAAAAGCGUUAAGUAUACCACCUGGGAAGUACGACCGCAAGGUUG
rnacentral:rRNA from 1 species